UGGGGAAUAUUGCACAAUGGGCGGAAGCCUGAUGCAGCCAUGCCGCGUGUAUGAAGAAGGCCUUCGGGUUGUAAAGUACUUUCAGCGAGGAGGAAGGCGUUGUGGUUAAUAACCGCAACGAUUGACGUUACUCGCAGAAGAAGCACCGGCUAACUCCGUGCCAGCAGCCGCGGUAAUACGGAGGGUGCAAGCGUUAAUCGGAAUUACUGGGCGUAAAGCGCACGCAGGCGGUCUGUCAAGUCGGAUGUGAAAUCCCCGGGCUCAACCUGGGAACUGCAUCCGAAACUGGCAGGCUAGAGUCUUGUAGAGGGGGGUAGAAUUCCAGGUGUAGCGGUGAAAUGCGUAGAGAUCUGGAGGAAUACCGGUGGCGAAGGCGGCCCCCUGGACAAAGACUGACGCUCAGGUGCGAAAGCGUGGGGAGCAAACA
rnacentral:rRNA from 1 species